GGGCGGUUAGCUCAGUGGUAGAGCACUGCCUUCACACGGCAGGGGUCACUAGUUCGAAUCUAGUACCGCCCACCA
rnacentral:tRNA from 1 species